rnacentral:lncRNA from 1 species
AGCGGAAAUGAGGAGAGGAGCUGGAGGAGACACGACAAUUGGAACGGCCCAUCUUGGAACCGUCUGCUCGCACCUGUAGCCGACAGCCAGCGUGACAGGUCUCUUCAAAGUCUAUGUUUACAGAACAGCUCCUCGUGACUACAUGAAAGAAUGGAAGAGAUGAAAAUCCGCUUUGAAAGACACAAGCUGGGUAGCGUGCAUGCAGACAAGACUCUUGCUCAACUGCACAACAGUAACUGGAUGAAACCAACAAGCCAUGUAACCGUGCAGCUCUCUGAAGGACUCGCAGUGGUCACAGCAAAAGUGAGUCCAUGGAAAUCAGUUCUGGCAGACUGUCACCGUUGCGAGGUCACAGCCUGUUAAGAGUGUGGGAAGCACAAGCACUAGACUUCAAGAACGAAAACAACUGACAGCUGCAGAGAGUUAAAGCACAGUCAGAAACAAAGACCCUGAGGGGAAAAUAAUGAACAGUUCAUUCAUCCUCAUAUUGUGAUACACAUGAAAGGAUAUUUGUUCUGCGAAAACUUCUUGUUUCGUAUGUUGCUUAUGCUGGAAGACAUCCAUGUUUUUAUUAUGAGUUUUUGGCAUUUGGACCAGAUCUGUUGAUUGUAACAUUCCACUUUUUGGACAAAUAUCCUUCACAGUAAAAGAAUCAUUGUCUCAUCUUCACAAAUAUAAUUACAUUCCAAAAUAUAAUGAAAGGUUCCAAACAGAUGUCUGGCAGGCAUCCAUUAACUCCAAUAAAUAAUAUUUAUCAGUAUCUGUUAAAGGGAGAGUUCACCCAAAAAUGAAAAUUCUGUUAUCAUUUAUUUACCCUCAUGUCAUGAGUUAUUUAAAGCAGAAUAUUCAAGCUGCUUUUUUUAUACAGUGAAAGUGAAUUGUGACCACAGCUAUCAGGCGAGAUUAAUUUUAUCCUGUUUCUCAUACAAAACUAUCAUAUGACUUCCAAAUACUUGUAAUAUAAUGCAUAUAGACCUGUUUUAGGGUGUUUUUAUUGGAGCUUGACAGCCUCCUAGUUUCCACAAUCGAAAAAAAAGAAAUGUAGAAACAGUUUUCACUAAGAAAUUUCUAGAAAAUUUUACAAAUAAUUGAGUAUAAGUACAAAUACUGAAAUAGUAUUUUUUUUGUAAAACGUACUCCAAUUACUGCUGUAAAAUACAAGAACAAGCAACUUAUAAGAAAUUGAUAGAACAUUUCACAAAUAAUUACAAAGAAUCGAAAUAGUACAUUUUUGAAGAAAAUACUAAACUAGUAUAUUUUUUGGUAAACAUACCUAAAUUACUGGCACAAUAUAUAAGAACAAGCAAUUUACAAGAAAUUGAUAGUAAAUUUCACAAAUAAUUACAAAGAAUCAACAAGUAACAUUGAAUUAUAGUGAAUUUUUGAAGUAAAUACUGAAAUAGUAUAUUUUUUGUAAAACGUAG